rnacentral:rRNA from 1 species
AUGCCUCCCCUCCACAUACUAGUACUCGGGCUUCUCCUCUUGCACACUCCUCCUUGGUGCUUCACUGCUGCUGCAGAUGAGAACACACUCUCAGCAGGCCAAUCGCUCACCGCUGGCGACAAGCUCGUCUCGAGAAACAGCAAGUUCGCGCUCGGCUUCUUCCAGCUAGCAGCGAGCAGACUCAGUAAGUCAUCCAACAAUGCCACCUCCCCCAGCACCAGCUGGUACCUUGGCAUAUGGUUCAAUAAAAUCCCGGUUUUCACUGUUGCUUGGGUUGCCAAUAGGGAGGAGCCCAUCACCCACCCGAACCUCAACCUAACACAACUCAGAUCUCAAGCGACAACAAUCUUGACACAAACCACCAAUACUAGUGCCCUUGUUCUCUUGAACAACGGGAACCUUGCCCUCACAUCUGAAAAGAAGAUGUUGUGGCAGAGCUUUGACUACUCAACAGAUGUUGUGCUUCCUGGCGCCAAGUUUGGUAGGAACAAGAUCACUGGUUUCAACCAACAACUCAUCUCAAAGAAGAGCCUCAUUGAUCUGGGUUUAGGCUCAUACAGUCUUGACCAAGAAGACACUGGUGGGUUCAUUCUCGAGCGCCGCAACAAACUGCUUGUGGUGUAUUGGCGUUAUAAAUCCUCCACAACUUCAUCUUUGAAUCUUUUACCAUUACUCAUGUCACUCCUAGAUUCAAAACCUCAGACCAAAGGAUUAUUUAACCUAUCAUAUGAUGAUAACAUCCAGGAGGAGUAUUAUAUGUACACUGUAUGGGAUGAAUCAUCGCCUUCUGCAUUUGUCUCACUAGACAUCUCUGGUCAGAUAAAGCUGAAUCUUUGGUCGCAAGCUAGCCAGUCUUGGCAAACCAUAUAUGCCCAACCUGAUGAUCCUUGUGAUGCGCCUGCAACAUGUGGACCUUUCACAGUCUGUAUGAGAAAGCCGGAUCCAUCAUGUGACUGCAUGGAUAGCUUCUCUCAUAAGUCACCGCACGAUCGAGAUUUUGAUGAUCGAACAGGAGGAUGCAUUAGAAAUACACCGUUACAUUGUGCUAUUUAUAGUAUUGGAGAACAUGUUCUUUACCUUCGCCUUGUCGCCAAAGAUUCAUUGCCAAGUUCAAGAAUAGGCAAAAGAAAACCAAAUGUUGGCAUUGUUAUUGCUGCAAGCAUUAUUUGGUUUGGGUUACUAGUCAUGAUGUUGUUGUUACUACUUUGGAGGAAACAAAUGAAGUUGUGUGGUUUGCUUCCAAUAUGCUAUGACCAUCAAGGAAAUGUUGGUGGGAUUAUGGCCUUCAGAUACGCUGAGUUAGUUCGUGCUACUAAAUCCUUCUUUGAGAAGCUGGGUGGAGGUGGUUUUGGUUCUGUAUACAAGGAAAUGUUAAGUGACUCAAAGGCUAGUAUAGCAAUGAAAAGGCUUGAUGCUGCCCAUCAAGGAGAGAAGCAAUUCAGGGCUGAGGUGAGAUCAAUUGGACUGGUCCAACAUAUCAACCUAGUCCAACUUAUUGGUUUUUGUUGUGAAGGUGAUCAUAGGUUACUUGUGUAUGCACACAUGGUAAAUGGGUCUCUUGAUCGUCAUCUAUUUAAGGACAACCAUACUGACGAUGUUGCUGCCCUAAAUUGGAACACUAGAUACCAAAUAACCUUAGGAGUUGCUAGAGGAUUGUCCUACUUGCAUCAAAGUUGUCGUGAGUGCAUCAUAAACUGUGAUAUUAAGCUAGAGAACAUACUGCUAGACGGAUCAUUUCUUCCUAAAGUUGCAGACUUUGGGCUAGCGGCUUGUGUGGGAAGGGAUUUUAGCCGAAUCCUGACAAGUUUCAGAGGAACCAUGGGUUAUCUUGCCCCAGAGUGGCUUAGCGGAGUUGCCAUCACGCCAAAAGUUGAUGUUUACGCCUUUGGCAUGGUGUUGUUGGAAAUCAUGCCAGGAAGGAGAAAUUCCACACGUGAAAGUUCAUACAACACUAUCAACAAUAGUAACUACCAGCAUAGGCUCAAAGGCUUUGCAAAGUUGCUUGUUGGUGCAUCCAAGACAAUGAGUUUGACCGGCCGACGAUGGGUGAAGUGGUCCGAGUUCUUGAGGGUGUACAAGCGAUUGAUGUGCCCCCGAUGCCAAGACUACUUGCAGCUAUGA